CCGUCGUCAGUUCGUACUGUGAAGCAUCCUGUUAAGUCAGGCAACGAGCGAGACCCGUGCCCACUGUUGCCAGCAUGCCUUCGGGAUGAUGGGGUACUCUGUGGGGACCGCCGAUGCUAAAUCGGAGGAAGGUGCGGGCUACGGUAGGUCAGUAUGCCCCGAAUCUCCCGGGCUACACGCGGGCUACAAUGACUGGGACAAUGGGCUCCUACCCCGAAAGGGGAUGGUAAUCUCAUAAACCCAGCCUUAGUUCGGAUCGAGGGCUGUAACCCGCCCUCGUGAAGCUGGAAUCCGUAGUAAUCGCGUUUCAACAUAGCGCGGUGAAUACGUCCCUGCUCCUU
rnacentral:rRNA from 1 species